GCUCUCGUAGCUUAAUCGGAUAGAGCACGGCCCUCCGAAGGCUGAUAUGGCAGUUCAACUCUGCCCGAGAGCA
rnacentral:tRNA from 1 species